GUCUGUUAUGAUUUAACAAAUAUGGCUACUCAUUAAAUGCCGUGUUUUGAAGCCGAAGUUUACCGAUUGUCACCUUAUAGUAAAUAAUAAACAAAAAGCAUGGGUAUUUAGCACGUGUUUAACAUAUACAAUCAGGUAAUUGUUUAUUUUAAAUACAGAUUCAUGCGUAUUGCUAUCACCGGAAUUUUACGAGGAGGGUCAAGCUUAGGUCACUUUGCAUACGGAAAAUAUGUCGGCGAAUUGCUUCCUGGCAGCAAGC
rnacentral:lncRNA from 1 species